rnacentral:rRNA from 1 species
CCUACGGGAGGCUGCAGUGGGGAAUAUUGGACAAUGGGGGGAACCCUGAUCCAGCCAUGCCGCGUGUGUGAAGAAGGCCCUCGGGUUGUAAAGCACUUUCAGUGAGGAAGAACGCCUGGUGGUUAAUACCCAUCAGGAAAGACAUCACUCACAGAAGAAGCACCGGCUAACUCCGUGCCAGCAGCCGCGGUAAUACGGAGGGUGCGAGCGUUAAUCGGAAUUACUGGGCGUAAAGCGCGCGUAGGUGGCUUGAUAAGCCGGUUGUGAAAGCCCCGGGCUCAACCUGGGAACGGCAUCCGGAACUGUCAAGCUAGAGUGCAGGAGAGGAAGGUAGAAUUCCCGGUGUAGCGGUGAAAUGCGUAGAGAUCGGGAGGAAUACCAGUGGCGAAGGCGGCCUCCUGGACUGACACUGACACUGAGGUGCGAAAGCGUGGGUAGCAAACAGGAUUAGAUACCCCUGUAGUC